rnacentral:lncRNA from 1 species
CACUGACACUAAAUCAAAGGUGUGCUUGUGUUUAAUACAGGAAUGUGGUCAGAAUCAGAUACAUGAUGAAUUAAUCUGUUGUGUUCCAACGAAUUGUGAUUCAUGCUCUCAGGUAUUAAGGCACAGUAUGACUUAUGAAUCAUGAUGUGAAAUUGAGCAACGCGAGUGAUGUCGUGUCAGAUGCAGUUUCCUGACCACAUCAUACUCGACGAGCGCGCUUCGUUGAGCGCGGUUGUGUGGCGUCGCGUCGCUGCAGAGUAUUGUUAGACAUGAUCCACUAAACGAUGAUGGGGAUUUUAUUUCUGGACUAUUUACUAUCCAAACGAGGAAUUCUGAAGGUCGCUCAGCUCGUGAUUCUCCUGGUAGCGUUUGCUUGCGUUCGUUCCACGUGGUACAACAGCUUCUACACUCACGGUUUUUUGGAAGGGGUCACGCUCGGUUACUCCAUCACGGUCGCCCUUUUUCUAUUCCUGACUGUAUUUGGGUUUCCGAAAAGGGCAUUAUUUGUGAACUGGACGAUAGCCGAGUUUGUGCUCGAUACAUUGGGAUUCAUCUUCACCUCCACCGGUUCCAUUGUAGCUGCUGUGAAGUCUUAUGAAACCCCCAUUCUGGUUGCCGCCUCAGUGUGUGGUCUUCUGGUCUGGUAUCUCUCACUUGUUAGUGUGAUACUUUCGUUUGUUGCCGCUCGCCGCACACAGCCUGCGGGUCCACCAGUAUAAAAACACUGUCUUGAUGUUUAUAGUGCUUCUUCUGAAAUAUCUAACUGCCCUCAACACAUAACAGCUUGGAUCGGGAAAUGAUAAAGGAUAUGGUUGUUUUAGUAAACUUACAUGGAAGAUAAAAGAUUUUGUGACAAUAUAAUUUUUUGCACACAUGGUUUAUUGCAAAGAGAUGGUUUUAAUAUUAUAAUUAUAAUAUUUUAUAUUAUAAAAAUGUAUGAUAAUAACCUGCCAAUAAUUUACUGGUGUACAUUUUAAGAAAUGGC